rnacentral:lncRNA from 10 species
AGGGCUUUUUUCCAGCCUUGUUAACCCAAGGGGGAGGGGGCAACCCAAACAGUGAGGGAAUGAGAAGAGCUUGGACUGGAGGAGAGCAGUUGUUCCUUGAGCCUCGACAGCGGGAGCCCACAUGCACUUCCAGUUCCACACCAUGCUGGGGGAAACUAACUGGUAGAUAAAUAAACACGGGACAGCGCAGGUACAAAAGGCGGCAGAGGCCUUGGGUCCACCCCAGUUCUCACCCUCUCCCUGACUUCUUGAUUCCAGUGCAAAAGAUCAGCAGCUCUUCUCCCUGAGGCCUAACCUGUGACUUCCUCCUCCUGGGGAAGGUAGAAAGACUUGUCUUCUGGCCUGUUCUCUAAGACCUCCCUUUUCAAGCAAUGGAAGCAUUCAGAACUUUAACAAGAACCAACCACAGUGACCCCACAGUGUCUGUCCUCGCUGAAAUCUGAAAGCAAAGUGGUCAGAGUCGUUUGUGCCCAGGCUUCCUGGAAGUGGUGUCUUCUCAGCACGAGUCGAGCAGCCCAGGACAGACUCUUCUCCCUGACUCCUCUUGGCUUUAGAGGAGAGACUGCUGGUGACAAAAGGAACCUACUGGAAAUAAGUGGAGGAUCACCCACAGUCUCCCAGCUGCCUCCACCUACAGAUAAGGAGGAAAGGGUGGGGAAUGUGCUUCUAGUGAGCUGAAUCCCAGCCUGGACUCAGGGCUGAUCCCCAUCCCCAAAGGGCUCAGAAGUGAUUCAGGCUGCAGGCAUCCCAAGUUGAGGUUCAAGAGAGUUAUGCCCAGGAGCCCUGGAUUUUCUGAGUUGGUAUUCAUUUCAUAUAUGUGGUUACCCUUUUGUUGUUGGGUCUCGGUUACUGAUUUGAAAAAAUUUGUCAUUAUUAAGGGUCUAGGGCACAGUCCUGGGGUGCCUGGUAUGGGCAGGAGUUAGUGGUUUCCUUGCGAGUAUAUGGCUUUGAGAGUUCUGUCCCCAGCCUUCCCUGUUGCGGCUACACUGGUUUCUGUUAAUAUCACUUCACUGUGGACUUCACUAUCAUUCUUCUCUGUUUUCUGUUUUCCUUCUUGCCCAACUUUAGCAACCACCAAAGGGAUGCCAACUCCUCGUACCUGCCUCCAAUUUUUAUUUCAUGGUCAAAUUUUACUAAUUUGGAGCAAACACACGGACCAAAUAGUGAAGAGUUUGUUCUUUUAAGUUUUCUUAAGUCAUUAAGAGAUACUCCCCAGCCAGGCAUGGUGGCUCAUACCUGUAAUCCUAACACUUUGGGAGGCUGAGGCAGGAGGAUCGCUUGAGCCCAGGAGUUUGAGACCAGCCUGGGCAACAUGUCAAAAACCCAUCUCUAAAAAAAAAAAAAAGAAAUUAGCUGGGUGUGGUGGUGCAUACCCGUAGUCUCAGCUAUUUGGGAGGCUGAGGUGGGAGGAUCACUUGAGUCCUGGGGCUGUGAUCAUGCCCCUGCACUCCAGCCUGGGGAACAGAAUGAGACCCUGUCUCAAAAAAAUAAAAAAAAAAUAAUAAAUAAAAUAAAGAAACUCCACCUUGGCCGGGCGCACUGGCUCACACCUGUAAUC